GCUCAGGUGGCCUAGUAGUGGGAGCGUCCGCCUCCGAUGCGGUAGGUCGCGGGUUCGAACCCCGUUUUAGUCG